rnacentral:misc_RNA from 1 species
UUGGUUUAUUCUCUUAUGUGUUAUGUAUUAUGUGUUAUGCAAAAGCCUGUACUCUUGCCCGUAUCGUUAGGAACUUUCGUUAAAAAGUAACUAGUACUCUUUUGCACCAGUCUUUUAUUCGCCUCUGCAGUGGUUGGAUGUGGUUCCUGUAACUACGCAUAUUUUUUAUCUUGGGGACUGCGUACGCGUUGUCCCUGUUUCUCUUUUAUUUCCAAAAUCGUGAUUAGCGUAAGAGAAGGAAUGUAAUAACUCUGCUCAGAGCCAUAUAUUGAAUGAAUGAAAAAAAAACUCUUUUGCACCAUGUUGAAAACAAUUGUGAAACAGGAAAACAGUACUGUCAAUACUUUCAAAGUAUUUCGGAAGACGAUCAUUUUGUCUUUUAAUAUUAUGCUGCUAUAAACCCUUAACAAUAUUUAGUAGUCCCAGAAUUGUCGAAAUUAACAUCAAACGUUUCUGAUCAUAUCUGUCAGUUGUUACAAAAUAAAAGUUAAGGUGUUAUAUUUAUGACUGGAUAAAAAUUCAUAAGCAGAAAGAAAAAUGAUGUGAGAUAUUGUGAAAAAAUUUUGUGUAUAUGUAAACAGAUAUUGUAGUGAACAUCACUAUACGAAGAAAAUAUUUGUGCAAGUUCUAAGUGUUCUAAAGAUGUGAUCGACGUUAAGCAGAUGUUCGAUUUUCUCGUUAUGUUAACAUUAAUAUAUGUAUCGAGCUAGUAGCUUAAAAGAUGAAACUGUGUUGCUUGACGAGUUCACGUGAUUUGCAACUUUUGUAGUAGGGAAACUACUCGCUGUCGCAAAAUUUUAUCAUACAAAUAUGAAUAAGAAUCACGCAAAUAAGAGAUUGAAUCAACUACCGAGUUGGCUAUGGACUAACUCGACUACCUUACCACCAGUUUAUAAAAUGGUUUGGGAAGCUGUGCGAGAAGAUCACGUCAGAUCGAAUAAUGUGCAAUCUGAGGUACUAGUCGAUACUAACAAGGUUUUUCCGCUAUUACUUACUAGCCAGCUGCCUACGGAUGUUCUUGGUCACAUAUGGAGCUUGGCCAACCAGAAGUACUCUGGACAACUUACUGAGCAAGAGUUAUACAUAGUGUUAGCCCUUGUGGCUGCUGCUCAAACAUCCUAUACUUUCAAUAGUCUUGAUAUAUUGCAUUUACUUCCUUUUCCACCAACACCAUAUUUGAACAUAGAAUGUUUGAUCAAUCUACAACCCACUGCACAAAUGGAUACAUCAAAACUUCAAUAUUUUCCUAAUGAGGAAGUUCAGUUUGAUAACACAAGUAUAGAAGAAAAAUGUACUUCUGAUAUUAAGGAAAAAACUAAAGUUAAAAUUCAUGGGAAUGCAAUGGCUGAUGCAAAUAUAUCCUCAAACAAUCUGCUAGGAAAAUCUUGUUUUGAUACUAAGAUUCAAAUGUUCACUACAGCUGGAAACAAUCAUAAUAUGUUUAAAAAUAUUAAGCGAUCAUCAAAUAUUCAAACUGAUGCAUUACUUACAUCAUCCUUUGAUGAAUCCUGUGAUGAAUUUACAGAAUUUCAGAGUGCACCGAUUCCUAGUAUCUCUACAAUACCAAUUUUGGAUAGUAAACAAGGUUCCGCAAUUGGCAGCAGACUUGCCAAUCACAAUUUAGGAGUAAAGAAAUCAGUUGAUAAGGGGAAAAAAAGUACUGUUGGAACAAAACUUGUACAUGUUAAUGCACAAAUUCGUACAGCUACAUCUACAAAUAUGCUGUAUCAAAAUAAGGAUCAGUCUACAACAGAAUCUGUAACAGAUCUAUUUCCUAAAUGUGCAGUAAAGAAUCAAUCGAAAACAGUAAUACUCAAAGAUACUAUAAUAAGAAAUAAUGAAAUGCCUAAAGAAUAUAACAAUAGUUUUAAUAACUUGGCAAGUAUAACAGAGACCAUACAUUUUAGUAACAAUAAAGAAGUAUUACCUAAAAUGGAGUUAACAUCAAAGGCUGUCAUGGUAGAUAUAUCUGAUUCUGUUCAACAAGAUUUAAUGAGCUUGCAACUUGUUGAAGACAAAUACAGUGCAUUGCGUGCAUUAGUUCAGGAAACAUCUGUUAUAAAUGAUACAAAAUUAGAUCUAAUUCUUAAUAAUCAAUCAGCUGAUGAAUUUGGUGAAUUUAUGUCUGCGGAACAACCAAUUGCUAAUUCUUCAAUAUCAGAUAUUUUGGAUACUGAAAGCUUUAGUAAUAUAUUCACAAAUUUUGAGUGUAAAGCUCACAUUAAUAUUGAUAAUAGUCACUUGGCAGAUCUGAAUUUUGUAUCUGAAGCAUCUGAAUUGUUCGAUAAUCUGAAACUUGAUGAUGGAAUUGAAGGACAAUUGAUAGAGUCAGGGAAAAAUAUUCAGAAAGAGGAUGCUAUUUCAAUAAAUAGUGUAGAAUUAAUUAGUAGUCCAACUGAAGCACUGCCAAGAUCUGGAUCUGUGCCUAGCUUAGAUCUUAAAUCAUUUUUACCUUCAAAUAUAGAAGAAGAUCAAGUUGUAGAAGCUCCACAGCAGAAUAUAUAUUGGGAAUGGAAACAAUAUAUGGAAAGUUGUAUAUUGCUAUUACAAGUCGCAGCUAAUAUAUUUACUAAUAUUACAUCUGAAUUAAUCUUGCACGAAGUCUUAAAUUCAGCACAGGGGUAUGAUUUUCUUUGCCAUUUAGCUGAAGUUGCAGCUGUUUGUAGACGAGUCAAUUUUUCAUAUAAAGAAUUGGAUAUAAACAUUAUUGGAUUUGAUGAUCUUUUAAUGGACAUUGAUCGAAUUUGGGCUGAAAUGGAGCCUUUCUAUGCAAAUAUACCACAUUCAAACAUCACUACAUAUGUCGAACACACUCGUACAUAACUUUCAAAUUAUGGCGCCUCUGACGAUGGGUUCGCAACACCUCUAACAGAAGAAAUGUGAGAUGGACAUUUUCGGCGUGGCAGUUUUACCAAUGCUAGCGAACAUGAAAUCUUCGUAAAUUGAACUUUGGACUGGAGUAUCUCGGCUCACAGGAUACGUAGAGCAAAAAUAAAGACAGUGUUAUUAACUAAUUUAGACCCAAGGAAUCGAUUGAGACCACUGAGAACUGCACUGGUUUAGUGAUACUGUCAAAGCAUUUCUUGAGAAGAACAAAGUAGGAAAAUAUAAUGAAGAAGAUAUGAGAAAAAAGAGUAAAAACGAAGAAAAAAAGAAAAAGAAGAGAAAAACGUGAGGAGGUAGAAGGACGUUUAAUCAGUCUAUGUAAAAUUGGAGAUCGCUGUGAGGUAUCUGUUCCAAAUCAACGAAAGCGAAGACCUACAGUUUUAUAUGUUGACGCUCCACUGCAAAAGUGCUACCGGAGUUGCCAGAGUAGGCAGUGAUAAGAAACCGCGCGGAGUGCAAAGGAUUAAAGAUGACUGGUGGACUGGUGUUAAGUACAAUGAAACUCUUGGCAAAAAUGAUGGAAGUAACAUCCUCUGACAAAGUUGAUAACACGAGAAACGAGCUGG